rnacentral:rRNA from 1 species
CGCGCAGGUGGUUUCUUAAGUCUGAUGUGAAAGCCCACGGCUCAACCGUGGAGGGUCAUUGGAAACUGGGAGACUUGAGUGCAGAAGAGGAUAGUGGAAUUCCAAGUGUAGCGGUGAAAUGCGUAGAGAUUUGGAGGAACACCAGUGGCGAAGGCGACUGCCUGGUCUGUAACUGACACUGAGGCGCGAAAGCGUGGGAGCAAACA